rnacentral:lncRNA from 1 species
ACACUGUAGCCCGUGGCCCUUGGUCCCCAGCAUCCCCGGCUGCCCCAUGAUGCAGGGCCAUCCUGACUCUGCGGACCGCACCGGGCACUGACUGUCUGUUUUCCAAGACGAAAAUGAUGCUUGGGUUUUGACUUUUCUGCAGCUGUCAGUGUGAAGAAGUGUCUGGACUGUGUCAUUUUUACACCAACCUGGUAAAAAUGCUGCUCUUGAUGCUCUCCUGAUCCCACAAUUAAACUGCACGUGAGCGAGCACUGCCUUCGGUUCAGUCUCUUUCCAGUCCAGGCCCGGCUUCAGGCUCUGAUACUUAUGGGUAUUCCCCACAAGUGGCCUCCACAGCUCUUCCAGUGAGACUCCUUGGAGGGUGUGCCAUUCUGUCAGUAUAAGGGGAGUAUGCUAAAAUGUGUUUCAGCAUGGAGGGCUGGCUGGAGGCCUUGCCACUGUAGUACAAGCAGAAUUUGUCCACCUUUAAGUUGCCCUGAGGGCAUCAGCUUAGUCACAGCCCCGCCCCAGCGGUAGAGAAUAGCAUCAUCCUCUACUUGUAGUCAACUGAGUGUUGGUGCAAGCCCUCUAGAGAAAAACGUAAGCAGUAUGUGACCACUGUGAGAAGCAUGUCCCUGGAAACAGGUGACAUGACGAGAGCAGAGGGCCUGAGUCACACAGAACUGACCAUGUGUGUAAGCAGAGGAGUGGAGGUUGCUUGGAAGAGGAGGAUCAAGAGAAAAGUAGGCUCAGUUUAGUGGACCCACAGUAGCAGCCAAUGUAAUUACAUUGGCUUGGAGCUAAGGCAUGGUGGGUCCUGCAGGGUGGCUUGUUGGACUAGGCAAAGUCCCCUGGCUUGAGGGUCCAGGAGAGACUGUCACAAGGCCGCAGCAUUCGAUCACAUCCAGAGAGGAGCAUCCAGAGGACAACUGCAUUGGUAGGGUACAAAGGUGUUCAGAGGAUCCCAGUCUGAGUGAUUAGCCUAAGACUGAAGCAUCUGGUUGGCUCUAGUCACACUUAGAAAAAUUCUUACAGCACUCGUCAUGAGUUGUCCAUUCCUGGAAAGGACCUGCCCAAUCUCUAUAGUGUCUCUACCUAGUUAGAGUUUACUGACUCAAGGGAGCAGAUUUAUAAACUUGCAGAAAGGCCCGACUCCCUUACGAGGCUGUGUGGUCCUUAGAAUUCAUGGAUGAGAGGCAAUAAAACCUUGAGGUUCCUUCCUGUUCUUUGUGAUUGCCUAACAAGACAUAAACUGGGUGUGAUGAGAUUGCUCAGUGGAUAGAGCGCUGUGCAGCCUGAGUUUGAUCACUGGAACCCAUGCAGCAGUAGAAAAGACUAAGUUGUCCUCUGACCUCCACACAUCUGUUGAGUGGAACAAGACUGAAAUAAAUGAAAACU